AAGAAAAAUUUUUUCAUUCAAUUUGUCAUUUAUCCAGCUUAUUGUUCUUCUUAGUAGUUCUUUGAGGUUCAGCUGGACUAGUUUGGCUUCAGAAGAGCCAAACUAGUCCAGUAGAACCUAGGUAAGUGGAGUUGUCACUGUUUAUAGGUUCUAUUUAUUACUUUAAUG